CACAGCAGAGGACAGACGACUGAGACCAGAGGUAGGACAAAGACUCCAUGUUUGUCAUCUGCAACACAUUUAUCUCAUUUUAUAUAUUCCAUCUUAUUUUGAGAUUUUGACAUUCUUUUAUACUUUGUGUUAGAGUAAGAUAAUCCAACUUUUUCAAUUUCAAAUAAGGGAAAUCCCCUAAACUCUGGAUAACUGUUUAGGCAUUAUAUCUGAAUCCGUUUUCAUAAUCAUUGUUUCUGCUUUCCUCUUAGAAAUUUCGCUGCUUGUCUUGAUUUGAGUUGGAAAAAUGUCACAAAAUACUAACUGCGGAGGAGUUGGGCCCAACACUGACCACGGCAACUCGACUGGCAGCAUUUUUUAACCGGUAAACUCUGGAACCAUUGGAUCAGGGAAUACCAUAAACACUGGAGCGAAAGGCAAAGUGCAAAUGGGAAACGUGACAGAUAUUAAUGUGGUAGCCAAAACAGGACUCCUUGGUUCAGGAUGCAAUACGAUCAACAAAUGAGGUGAGAAGAAAGAUUUAUUCAGCUUUAUUCCUCUAACAGAACAGAGUAACAGAUGUGUGCAUAUAGCAUGUGUGUUCAUUCUCCCUGCGCAUUUGUCACUGUAAAAAUAUAUAAUACAUUUUCCCAUCAUGCAUUGGACUCACCCUUUUAGAAAUCUGCUCUCCGACAGAUCAACUCAAAUGUGGUUCACAAAGUAUUAAAAAUUGAAGUCAUCGUUGAUUUGAGAAGUAUUGAUGAUAAUAAAGACCACAUGUAACAUCUGCA